rnacentral:lncRNA from 1 species
GAGUUCACAUUUGUUUAUUGUUGUAACAUUUUGUUUUGAACAUCAAACACUGCACCAAAAUAUGAGCCAUUUAUCUUCAGUUAUCUUUGCCGUAAAGUAAGUACUGAUGUUGACAGUUUCUGACAACUCAAGAAACGUAUUAGUGGCACUGCUGUGUCUAAUAAUCAAAUGUUGUCAUAGACCAAACGUAAUGAUUAAAUUAAAAGAGCAACAUUUCCCCUCCCUCUUCCUUUUCCUACCUUUAAAACAAACCCAAAAAAGUAGUUUUCACCUGGAAAGAGCACUUACUUUAAACCAAAACUCAACUUGUCACUGGUUUCAUUAAACCCAGCAUUUCUCUAGGCUCAAGAGUUAACUCAAGGCUUCCCAGAGUUAACUAAGAUGAUACUAGAAAAGAUGACAAAAUCCCCUGGGAGAGUCUGUUUUCACCGACCUGCAGACAGCACAAAUCCGUCCUUGGCCUGUUCCUUUGGGUCUGGCCAGUACCCUUUAGGACGCACUCCGUCUGCAGGGCCACGUGCGGUCAGGGGCACGAACACUUCUGGCUCCGGUGGGUGGCUAUCACUCC